GACAUUCUCUAAUUUCCAUCUUAAGCAUUUGUCAUCAGCUACUUUUUGAGCACUUAUAUGCUAGACAUAGGCAUGGAAGACACGGCUCAGAGACACAUGGUGGGAUCCAAGACCAGGAGGUUCAUUAUUCUGCCUUUGGUUGAAUGCAGCACCCCAAACUCCUUAUCAGAGAGACUCCACUUCCUCUAUCUCGGAGCUUCCCAACAAACAGGAAACAAAGAGAUACUGUUUCACCCAUGUGAGACCUGGAAGUACAGAACCUCUUAGCUGACUGCUAUCAUCAGAAGCAUUUUUAUUUUGUGUUCCUGUGUUGGUCAUCCAAGAAAAGUGGAUCUGAAAGUGUGCCUUCCUCCUUCCCAGCAUCACAUGGCACUCACUGCUCUAUUGAAUAGAUCUGGGAGAGGCCAAGUUGGACAUCAACUUUAGUAGGCCAAAGAGGAGAGUGCACAGCUCAAGAUACAGCUGCCUGUGCAGGGGAAGCCAGGUAGGGGUUCUUUCCAAUUGGAGCUGCAAGGAGGAUAAAAAUUCUGUCUUCAAAUAUAUUAGUGUUUACUUCUUAUGGCAUAAUGUUUAGAAAUAAAGAAAUACAUAAAAUUUGUGCUAACUACAA